rnacentral:rRNA from 1 species
AUUGAACGCUGGCGGCAUGCCUUACAUAUGCAAGUCGAACGGUAACAGGUCUUCGGAUGCUGACGAGUGGCGACCGGGUGAGUAAUGCAUCGGAACGUGCCCAGUAGUGGGGGAUAGCCCGGCGAAAGCCGGAUUAAGACCGCAUACGAACUGAGGGGGCAAGGGGGGGAUCGCAAGACAUCUCGCUAUUGGAGCGGCCGAUGUCGGAUGAGCUAGUUGGUGGGGUAAAGGCCUACCAAGGCAACGAUCUGUAGUUGGUCUGAGAGGACGACCAGCCACACUGGGACUGAGACACGGCCCAGACUCCUACGGGAGGCAGCAUUGGGGAAUUUUGGACAAUGGGCGCAAGCCUGAUCCAGCAAUGCCGUGUGCAGGAAGAAGGCCUUCGGGUUGUAAACUGCUUUUGUCAGGGAAGAAAUCGUCUGGGUUAAUACCUCGGGAGGAUGACGGUACCUGAAGAAUAAGCACCGGCUAACUACGUGCCAGCAGCCGCCGUAACAC